CGCGGCCUAUCAGCUUGUUGGUGAGGUAACGGCUCACCAAGGCAACGACGGGUAGCUGGUCUGAGAGGACGAUCAGCCACACUGGGACUGAGACACGGCCCAGACUCCUACGGGAGGCAGCAGCAGGGAAUAUUGCACAAUGGGCGAAAGCCUGAUGCGGCGACGCCGCGUGGGGGAUGAAUGCCUUCGGGUUGUAAACCCCUUUCAGGAGGGACGAAGCGAAAGUGACGGUACCUCCAGAAGAAGCCCCGGCCAACUACGUGCCAGCAGCCGCGGUAAUACGUAGGGGGCGAGCGUUGUCCGGAUUUAUUGGGCGUAAAGAGCUCGUAGGCGGCUCAACAAGUCGGCCGUGAAAGCCCGAGGCUCAACCUCGGGAUGCCGGUCGAAACUGUUGUGGCUAGGGUCCGGUAGAGGAGAGAGGAAUUCCCGGUGUAGCGGUGAAAUGCGCAGAUAUCGGGAGGAACACCAGUAGCGAAGGCGGCUCUCUGGGCCGGCACCGACGCUGAGGAGCGAAAGCUAGGGGAGCAAACAGGAUUAGAUACUCUGGUAGUCCUAGCCGUAAACGUUGGGUACUAGGUGUGGCGGAUUCAUUGACAUCUGCCGUGCCGAAGCUAACGCAUUAAGUACCCCGCCUGGGGAGUACGG
rnacentral:rRNA from 1 species